UUUAAUCUUAUGAAAGGAUUAUUUGUUGUUGAAGUCUUUAUGCAGUGAUGUUGUUACUGAUUAUGUUGUUUUGGUUUUUCUUUUUUCAUGAUUAACCUUAAAUCUUAUAGCACUGCCGGACUAUCAAUCUUCGACGAACAUGUUACAGGUAUGGAUCCGAGUAAGAACAGUCCUUCAUUCUUAAAGCUGAUUGAAGAUGAUGAUCCAAUAUUUUUGGAAAUACCUAUUGACUUUGCUUCAGUGAUGUGGGGAGAACAACCACCUUACAAGGAAUCUGUUAAGAUUGUUGAUGGCAACAACAUAUGGUUUGUAAGAUUGAAAAGAAUUGCUUUAGACCUCUACUUGGUGACGGCUUCACCAAAGUUGUUUGGGACAGUGGUAUAACAAAAAAUGACUAUCUUUUGUUUCAGUCUUUUGGACCAUCAUCAUUCUUUGUUUCAGUGUUUAAAUCAUGUGUUCAUGAAAACUGCUUUAUCUCCAAAAUCAUACCAGAGGAUGACGUUAUUGUCAAGGCUGAUGAAUUUAGGAGGCAAUGUUAUGGAAAAAAAUUCAAAGGUGGUGAAUCAACUCUUUAUGUAGGAGAUAGAUUUUGGAAUGUUAAGAUGGACGGAUUAUCUGACAGCUGUGUUUUUACUCAUGGAUGUUUUGAGAUGGUAAACGAUCUUGCCUUAGACAGGCGAUCUACGUUUGUCUUUGCAAUGGCUGGAUAUAAAACUUUCGAGGUUUCUGUCUUUAAUCAUGUACCGGUACUGAAAUUCAAUUCAAGAAGGUUGACUUAGUUGUUUUGGAUGACUUGAUUUAUGGUGAUGAUGGUUAUGAUUUGGUUAUUGCGUCUGAGUAUAAGCAGAAGUUUAGUACUGCCAGAACUGAUGUUGAGCAAGGUGUUGUUGUGGAUUGUGAAGAUGACAAAUUUCAGCUUUCAACUUUUGAGUCUGUUUUCAAUGAUAUUGAUGACUCCAAGUUUGAUAAGUUUUUCUCAUC